rnacentral:lncRNA from 1 species
GGCAUAGAAAGUGUUGCAUAUAUUUUUUUAAAAUUUAAAAAACAUAUAUUAUGUGGAUUCUUCAUUAUAAUCAGUAUAUAAUCUUUAAUCUACCUUCUUCCCCAUUCUUCCCUCACGCUGCACUUGACUAUUCCACGUGUAAUGUUUUCCUCCUUACAUUACUCUUCUCCUUCGUACUAACUCUUAUCUUGUCAACUCUUGUUCGUGGCUCUCAUCUUCUUCCUAUCGCUGCACUUCAUUUUUGCUCUCGUCUUCUCCCUCUCUCUACAAUUGUUGUUCGCUCUCUUAUUCUCCCUUUCACUACACUUUGUGUCGCUCUUGUUUUUUCCCUCUCACUAGUGGUCGCUUUCGUUCUCCCAGAAGUCGCUCUCACUGUUGUUGUUCUUACUCUGGUCUUCCUUCAACCUUAAUAUGUUAUUGUGUUUAUUAGGCUUGUUGUUAGUAUUUAUUGGGAGAGUAUCACAGUGUGUUUAUUGUGUUUGUUAUGUUGAUAUUGGAGUCUUAAACCUCCUUGGCAAAGAAGUGUGUGACAAAAGUGGUAUUGAAGGUGAAAAAAGGGAAAAUGAGAAUGCAAACCUCGCAAAUGUGAACGAAGAGACGAAGGACACAGAGGAGGGAGUAAUUGGUAACGACGAUGAACAUGAGGUUGGGGUAAAUUGUGUCGCUUAGGGUAGAAUUAGGGUUUCAUGGAGAACUUGGGAAUGGAAUAAGAGUGAGAUUUUCUAUGUCAUUUGUAGCAUAACCAACAUAGAAAGUGAAAACUUUCUAUAUCAGUUAUAUCUAUGUCAGUUUCAUAACUGACAUAAAAAGUCUUUUCUAAUCGACAUAAAAAUUCUUCGCUAC